rnacentral:lncRNA from 1 species
CAUUAGUCUUAUCAACCUCCCUCUCACUUGAUGGAAUCCUCAAGUUGUUGCUGGGUUUGGGGUUCCAUUUGGUGCUAGUAGAUCCUCUAUCCAUUGGAAAGACCUCUCAAGUUUCGAUCUCUACAUUUAUUGUGAGGAUUUAAAUGUAAUCCAUAGUAUGUUGAUGUCACUAUUGGAUCAUAUAUAUACUCUGUUAAGAUUGUUAUAAACUUUGCAGCUCCUCGUGAACCAUAUCUUUUGGAUUCUUCUUCCCUUAGUGGCAAGGUGACCUUGGUGACAGUGAUUGAGAAUUUUGGUUUGGUCAUACCAACCCUCACCCACA